rnacentral:rRNA from 1 species
GAUGAACGCUAGCUACAGGCUUAACACAUGCAAGUCGAGGGGAAACGACAUCGAAAGCUUGCUUUUGAUGGGCGUCGACCGGCGCACGGGUGAGUAACGCGUAUCCAACCUGCCCACCACUUGGGGAUAACCUUGCGAAAGUAAGACUAAUACCCAAUGACGUCUCUAGAAGACAUCUGAAAGAGAUUAAAGAUUUAUCGGUGAUGGAUGGGGAUGCGUCUGAUUAGCUUGUUGGCGGGGUAACGGCCCACCAAGGCGACGAUCAGUAGGGGUUCUGAGAGGAAGGUCCCCCACAUUGGAACUGAGACACGGUCCAAACUCCUACGGGAGGCAGCAGUGAGGAAUAUUAGUCAAUGGACGAGAGUCUGAACCAGCCAAGUAGCGUGCAGGAUGACGGCCCUAUGGGUUGUAAACUGCUUUUAUAAGGGAAUAAAGUGAGUCUCGUGAGACUUUUUGCAUGUACCUUAUGAAUAAGGACCGGCUAAUUCCGU